CACUAUUAUUAAGUUAAUUUGCAUUGAUAAUAUAAAUACAUCCCUCUAAAAAAAGUUAUAACUUUUUUAAAAUAUCUCUUUUAUAGGUGAACAGGCAAAGACUGUGAAGAGCAUCCUGAAGGACAACAUGCUCCAGAAGCAGAGUAACUCUGUUGGGGUCGUGCGCUGGACACUAUCAGAGAAAGAUAUUCAGGUCCACAGUUCUGCCCCCACCAGCCCCUUCAAGAACAUUAGUGGAUUUUCUACCCGUUCACAGCAAAGGCAACGUCAGCAAGGUCUGAAAGAUCUCCGGAGCUUGGAUGAGUGCAUCAGAUUCAUAAACCACUGGAAGCAACAGGUGGCACAAGUCUGCAAGCUGUCUGAAAAGCAUCCGUGGAUAAAGGAGAGGAUUGAUCAAGAGGAGGAAGAGGACACAAAGAAGGAUAAAGAUCAGAGUGAGGUGGUACAGAAGAGGAUCACGCAGUGGGCCAAAGAGAUACAGAGUGUGUCAGAGAGCUCUGGAAUGUUGGGAGAUGAACUGGCACGGCUAUUGCGUCUCCUGGGACUGAAGAAGAAGAAGCUGGUUUCCCUCAUGCCACUGCUGGAGUUCAUCACUUGGAGUUUGCUGAAAGAAGACAGCAAGGGCAUGGUUCCUCAUCUAUGGCUUGCAGCUAAGCAACGCACCUGGAAAGCUGGUGAGGGAUCUGAAAUCUAACCUUAAAUGAAUAAAGCUGAAAAGUACACCAAUGAAUAU
rnacentral:lncRNA from 1 species